rnacentral:other from 1 species
UAUACUCUACGAUGUACGACAGAUUUUCAUUUAAUUCAACCGACAAAAAAGAUCCGGGAAACUUUCUAUUACAGAAUAUAACAAGCCAUCUUGGUGUGGAAGUUAGAAAAUGGGAUGAGGUUACCCACCUACUUAUGGGGGCGGGUCUGAAUUAAUGGAACAACGGCAUUGUGGAGUUUUU